AUAUACAUACACAUAUACACACACAUAUUCAAACAUAUGUUUAUUCAUACACAUAUUUUCUUUUCUAAAAGGACUGACAGCAGGAAAUAGCCACCAUUCCUGACUGAGACAUAACAUGAGGUGUAAACAAUCUCAUUCAAAAAAUCCUCAAAUACAUGCAGUCAUCUUACCCAGUACUUAAAGAAGAAUGCAAAUAAACAGAAGAGAACAGCCUAAAUGCUGGUAUUAAUUUUCAGUUAUUCAGUUAUUCAUCUAACAUGAAUUGUGAACUCUUCAGGAACUUUAAAGGGUCCAGCCUUGUUGACUUCAGCUAAAGCUUUUUCUGCAUCAGAUUAGAAGAUCAUGCUUUCAGUGAAAGUCAGCUGCUAAUAGGAAGUUUGCUUUCUGGUCCCUGCUCUCCCCAUGAAACCAACACGUUAAUCCAGUUUUCAGUACUGAUUUCUAUCCUUCCUCACAGCUGAGGAUAUGUUUGUUUGUUUUGGAGAGUCUUUUGAGUUUAUGUAUGAGGGGAGGGAGUUAAAAUUUAAUUUUCUCUGCCUCUUACCCUAUAAUCUGUUUCUGACAUAUGUCUGUGUGGAGCUUGAGCUGAGCUCUCUUCUAGCUAAACUGUUUAGUGAAUUAUUAUCUCGUGAUUACCAGUGAGCACAAAGUUUGUAUUAGUAAAAUAUUAUAGGUCACAGUUCUGAAAUGGCUGAAUGACUUCACCUAAAUCAUAUAGUCAACAUAUGUAACAAUAGCUGUGUUAUCUACCAGACUUGAAUGUCCACCACUAUGGUAGUAAAAGACAAACCAACUGCUAAAUGAAA